AAAAAAAAAAAAAAAGAAAGGGGAGAUUUAGGAGUUAAUUGUAAAAACAACUAGUUUUUAGGAAUUCAAAAGGGAGUUGUUGAUUUGAAAUUUGUUAUCUUUUUAUAUGAUUUGAAAGCUUAUCUUUUGCAAAUUGAUGACAAAGAGUGAAUAAAUUAGUUAACUUGUGGAAAAUAGUAUUGACUAAUAAAGAAUAAUUUUCAAAGCAUCAAGACUUGUGUAUAAGAAAAAUAACUGUUAGGACUUGAUUAUAAAAAUUCAUUACUAAAAAGAAUUCAGAUCAAUAUGAGCCUAGAAGCUAUAAUGCAUGGUAGCCGAAGUGGAUUCAUUCCAUGAUGGGCAGCAGGAGUAACUAAAUUUCUUAGUGGUUAACAUGCGAUAGAACAUUCAAGUUGAAAAUAAGA
rnacentral:misc_RNA from 1 species